UACAGAGGGGGCAAGCGUUGUUCGGAAUUACUGGGCGUAAAGGGCGCGUAGGCGGCCUGCUAAGUCGAACGUGAAAUCCCCGGGCUCAACCCGGGAACUGCGUCUGAUACUGGGUGGCUUGAAUCCGGGAGAGGGAUGCGGAAUUCCAGGUGUAGCGGUGAAAUGCGUAGAUAUCUGGAGGAACACCGGUGGCGAAGGCGGCAUCCUGGACCGACACUGACGCUGAGGAGCGAAAGCCAGGGGAGCAAAGCGGG
rnacentral:rRNA from 1 species